GAUGAACGCUGGCGGCGUGCCUAAUACAUGCAAGUCGAGCGAACAGAUGAGGAGCUUGCUCCUCUGACGUUAGCGGCGGACGGGUGAGUAACACGUGGAUAACCUACCUAUAAGACUGGGAUAACUUCGGGAAACCGGAGCUAAUACCGGAUAAUAUAUUGAACCGCAUGGUUCAAUAGUGAAAGACGGUUUUGCUGUCACUUAUAGAUGGAUCCGCGCCGCAUUAGCUAGUUGGUAAGGUAACGGCUUACCAAGGCAACGAUGCGUAGCCGACCUGAGAGGGUGAUCGGCCACACUGGAACUGAGACACGGUCCAGACUCCUACGGGAGGCAACAGUAGGGAAUCUUCCGCAAUGGGCGAAAGCCUGACGGAGCAACGCCGCGUGAGUGAUGAAGGUCUUCGGAUCGUAAAACUCUGUUAUUAGGGAAGAACAAAUGUGUAAGUAACUAUGCACGUCUUGACGGUACCUAAUCAGAAAGCCACGGCUAACUACGUG
rnacentral:rRNA from 1 species